CACGUGGACCCUCUAAACCCCCUGAUUAGGAUGAUGAACAGUGGCAGAUUAGGUAUGGUAUUGGCCAAGAUUGCACCCUCGAUUACGAGGUGCUGAUUUUGCAAUUGUUGAUGCUGAUAUUCAUACACCUCUCAUUCAACACAUUCAGAAACCUUCACUAGAUGAGGUGUUGCUGGUGCAAUAGAAUUGGAG
rnacentral:sRNA from 1 species